rnacentral:rRNA from 1 species
UGGGGAAUAUUGCACAAUGGGCGCAAGCCUGAUGCAGCCAUGCCGCGUGUGUGAAGAAGGCCUUCGGGUUGUAAAGCACUUUCAGCGAGGAGGAAGGGUAGUGUGUUAAUAGCACAUUGCAUUGACGUUACUCGCAGAAGAAGCACCGGCUAACUCCGUGCCAGCAGCCGCGGUAAUACGGAGGGUGCAAGCGUUAAUCGGAAUUACUGGGCGUAAAGCGCACGCAGGCGGUUUGUUAAGUCAGAUGUGAAAUCCCCGCGCUUAACGUGGGAACUGCAUUUGAAACUGGCAAGCUAGAGUCUUGUAGAUGGGGGUAGAAUUCCAGGUGUAGCGGUGAAAUGCGUAGAGAUCUGGAGGAAUACCGGUUGCGAAGGCGGCCCCCUGGACAAAGACUGACGCUCAGGUGCGAAAGCGUGGGGAGCAAACA